UAGGGAAUCUUCGGCAAUGGACGAAAGUCUGACCGAGCAACGCCGCGUGAGUGAAGAAGGGUUUCGGCUCGUAAAGCUCUGUUGUUAAAGAAGAACGUGGGUAAGAGUAACUGUUUACCCAGUGACGGUAUUUAACCAGAAAGCCACGGCUAACUACGUGCUAG
rnacentral:rRNA from 1 species